rnacentral:snRNA from 1 species
UGACUCUAUUUUAAAGGCA